GUACUUGCUUUGGCAGUUGUACGUGUACUACAAUUGGAACGAUACAGAGAAGACUAUAAAAGCUCCUAUACGCAAAUAUGACACGCAAAAUCGUGAACAGUUUUUGCUGUAU